CUACGGAGGGUGCAAGCGUUACUAGGAAUCACUGGGCGUAAAGGACGCGUAGGCGGGUUGGUAAGUCAGGUGAGAAAUCCUACAGCUUAACUGUAGAACUGCACUUGAAACUACCAACCUAGAGUAUGGGAGGGGGAGAUGGAAUUAGUGGUGUAGGGGUAAAAUCCGUAGAUAUCACUAGGAAUACCGAAAGCGAAGGCGAUCUCCUGGAACAUAACUGACGCUAAGGCGUGAAAGCGUGGGGAGCAAACAGGAUUAGAAACCCCGGUAGUCC
rnacentral:rRNA from 1 species